AAAAAAAGAAAAAUCGGAAAAGAUUAUCCAAAAGUUAAGGGCAGCUUUCACCUGUGCCGCCUGAUCCCGUUUUCUCCGUUUUAGAUAUGUCUAGGAGUCAGCUUGAACAGGAGAAGAAGUUCCUAGAUUCUUUUGUCUGGGUAAACGAGAUCACUGGAGAAACCACCUUUCCUCCAGGGGAGGGGACUACACCUGCAGCCUCUGGAGAGAAGCGUCCGGCAAGGUCGAGGUCUCCGCGAGGGAACAUACCCUGCUCGGUGGCUGCUCACAGACCCGCUUCCCCAGUGAACCCCGAGGCUGUGGGCAGAGGCCCCGGGACAGGAAGCUUGCUUCUACCCGACCUGGGCAUGCCCCGUGUCCUGUCCCCACCAGGGAGCGCUCUGCCGACGCAGGACCACCUGGGAGUGUCCCCUCCACUGGCCCGGGUGUUUCCAGCUAGCCCCUCUCCGCCCUGGGCCCUGUCCUGCAAGCUAAGGAACGUGCUGACAGGAAACAACCGGUUUUCCUUUUGAGCUAGGGAGUGCCAAGGGAGCGGUCGCCCAUCUACACUUGCAGUGCCCUCUGAAGGUCCCAUCAGCCGCACCCCCAGAAGAACAAGUUUACAGGAAUCGGCAAAACGCUUUCAGACCCAAUACAAACUUUUCUGAUUGCCUUCUA
rnacentral:lncRNA from 1 species